GGGGCUGAUUCUGGAUUCGACGGGAUUUGCGAAACCCAAGGUGCAUGCCGAGGGGCGGUUGGCCUCGUAAAAAGCCGCAAAAAAAUAGUCGCAAACGACGAAACCUACGCUUUAGCAGCUUAAUAACCUGCUUAGAGCCCUCUCUCCCUAGCCUCCGCUCUUAGGACGGGG
rnacentral:tmRNA from 1 species